UAAGUAUUUGGAGAAUUCAAAGUCUUGUGCAUAUCUUGGUUCACAACAACAGUCUUUCUGGGGAACUAUCUUUGGAGAUGACAAAGCUCAAGUAUCUGAAAAAUAUCUCUUUGUUUGACAAUCAAUUCUCAGGAGUGAUACCUCAAAGCUUGGGAAUCAACAGUAGCUUAGUGAAGUUGGAUUGUAUGAAUAAUAAGUUCACUGGUAAUAUCCCUUCAAAUCUUUGCUUUGGAAAGAAAUUGAGUGAACUCAAUAUAGGAAGCAAUCAACUUCAAGGUGGCAUACCUUCUGAUGUAGGAAGAUGUGCAACUUUGAGGAGGUUGAUUCUCAGUGAAAAUAAUUUAACUGGGUCUCUUCCUGAUUUUGAAAGUAGUAUGAACUUCAAAUACAUGGACUUGAGCAAGAACAAUAUUAGUGGAUCGAUUCCAUCAAGUUUGGGAAAUUGCACAAAUAUAACAUACAUAAAUUUGUCAUUGAACAAAUUUGCAGGGCUCAUACCAUCAGAGCUUGGAAACCUGUUGAAUCUUGAGAUUUUGGAUCUUGCUCACAACAAAUUUGAAGGUCCUUUGCCUCAUCAGCUGUCAAAUUGUACUAAAAUGGACCGUUUUGAUGUUGGAUUCAAUUUUCUAAAUGGUUCAUUGCCAUCGAGUUUGAGAAGUUGGACGGGCAUAACCACAUUGAUUUUAAGAGAAAAUAACUUCACAGGGGGUAUCCCAGGAUUUUUAGCAGAAUUUAGCAACCUUCGCGAGUUACAACUUGGUGGAAACUCGCUUGGAAGCAAAAUUCCUCAAUCAAUUGGGAAAUUGCAUAAUCUGUUUUAUGGAUUGAAUCUGAGUGCCAAUGGAUUGACAGGUGAAAUUCCUACAGAAAUUGGGAAGCUAGUACAGUUGCAAAGUCUGGACAUAUCCUUGAACAAUUUGACAGGAAGCAUAGAUGCUCUUGAAGGUCUUGUUUCAUUAAUUGAGGUAAAUGUUUCUUACAAUUUCUUCAAUGGUUCUGUACCAACAGGUCUUAUGAAGUUAUUGAAUUCCUCACCAUCAUCAUUCAUGGGUAAUCCUCUCCUAUGUGUUAGUUGUUUGAAUUGCAUUAAAACUAGUUAUGUAAAUGUAUGUGUCUACAAAUCAACUGAUCACAAAGGCAGCAGUAAAGUACAAAUUGUGAUGAUAGAACUUGGAUCUUCAAUAUUUAUUUCUGCUGUGCUGGUAAUAAUAAUUCGAAUUUAUCUCCUUAAAAGGUCUAAGCAGGAAUUCAAGAUGUCAUGUUCCCCAUUGGUCAUGGUGUUGAAGGUUAUGGCCAAACUAUAUGAUUGUUUUAUUAGUGAAAGAGGAAAUGUUGUGUAUAAAACCCAGUCGGGUCUAGAAUCCGAAAGGGCUUCCGAUUUUAAGCAAUGGUCUUCUAUUGUAAAAGGAGCUGGAAGGAUUGGAGUCACAUAUGCUCGUGAGUUCAAUAUCUUAGGUAAAGAGAAGAGGCCUACCCUUAAGGAUCUAGUUUUGCAGGCUACUGAGAACCUAAAUCAUCAGUUUAUUAUUGGCAGAGGAGCACAUGGUAUUGUGUACAAAGCCAUCAUCGGUCAGCAGGUUUUUGCUGCGAAGAAGAUUGAAUUUGGAUGGAAGAAGGAAAAGCGGCUAAGUCUCAUGUGCAAUGAAAUUGAAAUCCUCGGAAUGUUUAAGCAUCGAAAUUUGAUCAAAUAUGCAGACUACUGGUUUGGAAAGGAAUAUGGUUUAGUCUUAUAUGAAUUCAUGGAAAAUGGAAGCCUUUAUGAUAUCUUGCAUGAAAAGAAACCCCCACCACGCUUAACGUGGAAUGUUCGGUUUAAGCUAGCUGUUGGAAUUGCUCAAGGACUAGCUUAUCUGCAUUAUGAUUGUGUUCCACGAAUCGUGCACCGAGACAUCAAACCAAAGAACAUACUUGUUGAUAGCAAUAUGGAGCCUAUUAUAGCUGAUUUUGGCACUGCUCUAUGCAAGAAGUUGUUUGAGGAUUCUUAUAGUCACUCUAAUACCAGAAAAAGGCUUUCGUCGCACGUUGUUGGCACCCCUGGCUAUAUUGCACCGGGUAAUUAAUUCUUCAUACACAAUUACUGUUGACUUACACGCCCCUUUCAUAACCAGUAGUAAUUUGAUUUCUAGUAUGAGAUGAUGACUUUGUUUUCCAUCAUAGCUUGAAAGUGGAGUUGUGCAAGAUACUAUUCUCUAACAUAUUUGCAUUGUCAUCUAUGACAGAGAAUGCAUAUGAUAUAGUGCCGGGAAGAAAGUCAGAUGUAUAUAGCUACGGAGUUAUUUUGCUCGAGCUAAUAACUAGAAAGAAAUUGUUAGUUCCCUCUUUGAAUAAUGAGGCAGAGGAGACCCACUUAGUGACUUGGGCUAGAUCUGCAUUACUGGAAACAGGUGAGAUUGAGAAGAUUGCUGAUCCAUACCUUGCAAAUGCAUUUCCCUAUUCAGUAGUACUAGCCACACAAGUCACUGAAAUGCUUUCAUUGGCAUUAAAAUGCACAGAUAAGGAUCCACGAAUGCGGCCGACCAUGAAAGGUGUUAUUCGAUUUUAUAAUAGUAACUUGUUUAAGCAGAGGUGUGACGAGGUGGAAUAUGGUGAUGGAUUUGCAGUUAAACUGAUGGGAAAUGCUAAGAUUCAUGUUGAAAAGAUUGCAGGUGUAGCUGAUCUAAUUGUUCCAAAAAUUGUCUAUGCUAGUCCUAGUUUGAUCUUCCUUCCCUCUGUUACUGGUCCAAUACUUACCAAACCUUUCAACUGGUUUUUCCUCACACUUUGGGGUCAAUAUGGGCAUCUGCAGAAUUCCUUGUAUUCGCAGCCCAAAUUAUACUACUCUAUAAACACCAACCAAACUCAAUCGGUUAAGAGUCUCACAUUGGAUGAAAUACGACUUGAAAAUGUGUUUAUAAGUGGUGGACAAUCAUCAUCUUACAAAUCGAUUUUGUAAGGGUUGAAUUAGGCCAUUCUCCAAAUCUAAGAGAGGCAAUAUUGUGAAUAGCAGUGCGACAAAAGAAGAAAGAGAGAUGUUUCAGCUUAUAUUCCUACUAAUGUAAUUUCCAUUACAGAGCAAAAUCAAUUGGCAAGAGGACAACGAUAGCCCGAGUUGCUGAAACAAUCCCAAUCAUCCCCUCUCACCGUGGAAGAACAGAUAGUAACUAUUUAUACUGAAACGAAUGGUUAUCUUGAUUCAUUAGAAAUUGAAAUUUCUCGUUGAGUUAAGGGUGUAUUUAAAAAUGAAUAAACUUAAAUUCAAUGAAAUAAUAUCUUUUAUCAAGACAUUCACUGGAGAAGGAGAAACUUUUUUGAAGGAAGCUAUUUAGGAACAGCUGGAACUUUUUUUACUUCAAGAACAAGUAGCAAAAAAUUGAUUAAAAAUAUCACAACGUAUCAUUUUCGAAAUUUGUCUCUUCCAAUAUUUUUUUGAAUUUUAAUUCACGAUAUAUUUUUAGAAAUAUAUAAAUACAAAAUAUAUAUAUCCAAUAGAUAUGACAAAAUUACUUAAUUCAUAUCAUAAAAAUGCAUUGUGCAAGAACGAUAGUUCCAUUCCAUUUUUUAGAUAGAUUACUUGAAAACAAAAGAAGGCGUAAUCAAGAGUAACUUUUUGAUUCCUAUUAUAUAAGAUCAAAAAGUUACUUUUACUUUUAUUUAAUGUAGUCAAAUUAAUAAGAUUUGGAUUUCUUAAUGGAAAUGAUGAGGAUGGAUGGUGGACUACAUGUGCCAACCAAGGAUUAUAUCAGCCUAGAGUUCCAUGUAAGCAUCCACUGUUAGCCAUUGUUCCUUAUAAAAUUUUGCCAACUAAUCUUCUAAUCUCUAGUGUUGAUAUGUCAUUUUAGGUUCAACAAAUUCGUUUCUGUACUACAUGUUCCAUUCCUUUUCAAGAGGAUUGCUUUCAAGCUUUUGAUCCAUAUACACAAUUUAGGAACAUGAAAUUGACUUUUAGUCAUUUUGUCCUUCCAUUCUGAACUGUAACUUUAAUAUAUUAUAAUUUUUUAUUUAAUCAAAUGAAAUAUUGUUAUUGUUUCAGUUAAGAGUCUUAAGUUGAGUACAUAAAAUUGUUUAAUGUGGUAUUUAAGUUACGAGACUCUUCCACCUAAUAAACUAGUAUUUUGGAUUGAACUCUCCUCAUGAGCAUAAAUUCUAACCAUUAGUGUUUUUAUUCAGAAAUCUGACAUGAAAAGUCAUAAGAUUUUUUUUUUAUUAUCUCUUAGAUUAAAUUUGAAGGUCCACAAUUUAACAAAUGACUUUUACAAAAGUCUACAGAUUUUCAGUUUAAAUUUUGAACAACAAUUAUACCUGUUUUUCUCUCUUAAAAAUAAACAAUGAAUUAAUUAGUUAUUACCUUAUAUCUUUACAACAGAAAAAAAAAAAAAAAAAACUUAUUGAGUUACGUUGACUCAAAAUGUAGUUCACAUAUUUAAAUUUAUCAAAUUUAAAACACUAAUCUUCUGCUACAUUUCAUUAUUUGAAACAAAAUUUCCUUUUCUUUUUUACAUUGAAACAAUUUUCCUUCUAAAAAUAUAUAUUAAUAAACUACAUCUUAUCAAGCUAUGUGCACCUCUUUUCUCAUGUUUUGAAGUAAACAAGAGUGAUUUUGAACAUUAGUUAUUUAUUUUAAAUUAAAUGCUAGAGACCACAAACAAUCCUUAUAUAGUUUAGAAGAAUGAGAAUCAAAUAUUUUUUUACAUUAGCCAAAAAUUAGUUACUAUGUUUAAAAAGUCGAUGAAUUUGGUUUUAUAUUUAAAUGGUUGAUAAAUUUGGUUCAAACAUUAAAAAUCAUAACUACUUUAAAAAAUAUCGUCUUGUUUGACUUUUGACUUUUGAGUGAUUGUUAAGUGAGUGUGGUUCGUAGACCACCGUAGCAUACAAUUUGUUAAGAUGAUAAUUAAAUGAGGUAGGAAAAAUACUUUGAUUUUAUUUUAUCGGAAGUUUCAUAGAAAUUCUAUCUUAUAAUAAUUAAAAAACGCGCCGUAAGUUUACAGUACAGUUUCCUUGUCACUGCUUCAAUAUUGUAUAGCUUUUGUUUCAUUUUCUAGUAAACACCUCAAAGAACAAAACAACUACUUAUUUUGUUAAGUGCUUCUUAUUUUGUUACAACCUUGUCUAAAUGAACACAACAACUAGUUGUUCCACUAGAAUUUUCACACUCUUGUUGAUUAUUUCUUUUUUCCAUCAUGGUGCUUUUACUCUUUCCUCUGAUGGGUUGACUAUUUUGUCACUUUUGACACAUUGGACUUUUGUUCCUACUCUCAUCAGCUCUACUUGGAAUGCUUCUGAUUCCACUCCAUGUUCAUGGAUUGGUGUUGAAUGCGACCAUACCCACAAUUUGAUUUCCCUUAACCUCACUGGUCAUGGGAUUUUUGGUCAACUUGGAUCAGAAAUUGGAAACCUUUAUCACUUGCAGACCCUUUUGUUGUUGGGUAAUGGUUUCUCAGGAAAUGUGCCUUUAGAGUUAAGUAAUUGUAGUUUGCUUGAGUAUUUAGAUCUUUCUGGGAACAGAUUCAGUGGAAAAAUACCAUAUAGCUUGAAAAAGUUGCAAAAUUUACUGUUUUUGAGAUUGUCUUCCAAUCUGCUCACUGGUGAAAUUCCAGAUUCCUUGUUUGAAAUUCCUUCCCUUGAAGAAGUGAGCCUGCACAGUAACCUUCUUAGUGGCCUUAUCCCAAACAAUAUUGGAAACUUGACUCAAUUGUUGAGGUUGUAUCUGUAUGAUAAUCAGUUGUCAGGGACUAUUCCUUCUUCCAUUGGUAAUUGCAGUAAAUUGGAGGACCUUGAACUGUCUUUCAACCGUUUGAGAGGUGAAAUUCCAGUAAGUAUUUGGAGAAUUCAAAGUCUUGUGCAUAUCUUGGUUCACAACAACAGUCUUUCUGGGGAACUAUCUUUGGAGAUGACAAAGCUCAAGUAUCUGAAAAAUAUCUCUUUGUUUGACAAUCAAUUCUCAGGAGUGAUACCUCAAAGCUUGGGAAUCAACAGUAGCUUAGUGAAGUUGGAUUGUAUGAAUAAUAAGUUCACUGGUAAUAUCCCUUCAAAUCUUUGCUUUGGAAAGAAAUUGAGUGAACUCAAUAUAGGAAGCAAUCAACUUCAAGGUAACAUACCU
rnacentral:lncRNA from 1 species